CAACGCCGGCGAGGUCGAGCUCGCAUGGGCUGGUGGAGGCGCGAGGGGCGGUCGUCCAUAGCCAUGGCUUCCAAUCUAGGAGGAAAGAAACAAGAAAGAUGCGAAUCUCGAAUGAGGGACGUGCGAUAUUAGAAGGAGGAAAAAGAUAAGACAGAAAUCACACGAUUAAGUGGGAUGACCUUGCUGAUGGAUCCGACGAAAACGUUUCGGCCGGCGCUAUGACCGGAAACGUUUCCCUUAGCAAAAUGGCUCUGUUACGGGCGCAGCACGCCCCACCCGCAAACCCUCGUCGACUG
rnacentral:lncRNA from 1 species